UAGAGAUGGAUUUGGGCAGAGGGACCUUCAAACUCAAUGUGUGUUGGGGAAGAUGAAACAGAAAAGCCUUAUAAAUAUGAUUGUCUGGCAAAAGAUUUUGUGAACAUAAAAAGUAUAAGGAAGAUUGAAAUGAAAGCAAGCUCUGAGAUACCGCAGUUAGUGAACAACUGGAAAACAAUGGUGUGGCCCAACUGAAGGUAAUCCCCUUUUGAUGAAACAAUUCCCUCUGCUUGCAGACAGAUCCAAGGGUCAGAGCAGACUCUACUAGCUCAAUAGAAGGGGUCCAAGGAGGAGAUUUUAGGGUUUAAAAUGUAACACAGUAUGGUGAUGUAAUGAUUUUUACAGGCUGUAUGUAAAUGCUGUAGGAUUUGUAUCUUGUACUAGAUCGGUUAGUGAAAAAUCAAAUACUCAACACAGAAGAAGAUUGAUUGUAUUGUAACAGGAACCUUACUGUCAUACGCUCUUCUCCUCUUACUCUCUUACCCUCUCACCCUCUCUACCCCUCUCUUAUCUCUGGCCUGCUCCGAGCUGUGCCUGGCAGCUCCCAGCAGGGCCCUGCACCCAGGCCCUUUGCAAUAAACUGCAAGUUCCACGACCUGGCUGCAGAGCUCUCUCAUCUCCGUCCGUCCCGACCGACCUACCCCCCGAUGCUCCUACAAACGCGCUCAUCCCUUGUUUUCCCCAAACCAGGAUUUCCCAUUGCCAAGGCUUGGGAGGCUGCGAGGAAGAGGAAGAUGCCCCGGGACACUGAGGCAGAGCAGGAGCUGAGCAUGGAGAGCAGGGAGGGCAAAUGCCCGCGGCAGAACCUGGUGGAAGAGGCCGUUUUGAGCGGCUCCACGGCGCAGGAAGCCAACGGGGAGGAAAAGCCGUGGAGAUGCCACACGAGGAGGGGCUGCAAACGCAGCCGGCGGGGAUCUGAGGGGGAAAGAGCCAGCCUGGGCCGGGAAGGUGGCCGGAGAUGGAGCCAGAGCUCGGAGCUGGUGCUCCAUGAGCAGCUCCCUGGUGGGGAGAAGCCCCACACGUGCGUGGAGUGUGGGAAGAGCUUCAGGUGGAGCUCUGACCUGAUCAGGCACCAGAGGAUCCACACUGGAGAGAAGCCCUAUGAGUGUGAGGAGUGUGGGAAGAGCUUCAGCCGGAGCUCCCACUUGAUGAAGCACCAGAGGAUCCACACUGAAGAGAGGCCAUACAAAUGUUCCGAGUGUGGGAUGUGCUUCAGAGAGAGCUCCAGCCUGUCCCAGCACCAGAGGACCCACACUGGGGAGAGGCCCUAUGAGUGUUCAAAGUGUCGGAAGAGGUUUAAGACAAGAGCCCAUCUCCUCCGGCACUAUCUGAGUCACACAGAGGAGAGGCCCUUCCAAUGCCCCGACUGCGGGAAGGGAUUCAAGCACAACUCCGACCUCAUCACCCACCAGCGCAUCCACACUGGGGAGAGGCUCUAUGAGUGUGAUAAAUGCAGGAAGAGGUUUCAGACCAGCUCUGUUCUCCUCCUGCACUAUUGGAUUCACACAGAGGAGAGGCCCUUCCGCUGCCCCGACUGCGGGAAGGGAUUCAAGCACAACUCCAACCUCAUCAGGCACCGGCGCAUCCACACUGGGGAGAGGCCCUACGAGUGUCCCCAGUGUGGGAAGAGCUUCUCCAGGAGCUCUCACUUGACCCGACACCAACAGAGGCACCGGUAAGGGAAGCCCUGUGAGUGCCCCGAGUGCGGGCAGAGCUUCGUGCGAUGCUCCAGCUCCAUCCCCCACUGGAGGAGGCACUUUGGGCACAGCCCAGAAGCCAAGAGGAAUGGAUCUAUCACCUCCAAAUCACUCAAAUCUCAGUGAAAACAGCUCAAUCUUACCCCAAAAAGAGCUCAAACCCACCUCAACAAACUCAGUCCCACGCCAAACUCACUCGAUUCCGC